rnacentral:rRNA from 1 species
UACGUAGGUGGCAAGCGUUGUCCGGAUUUACUGGGCGUAAAGAGCGCGCAGGCGGCUUCUUAAGUCUGAUGUGAAAGCCCACGGCUCAACCGUGGAGGGUCAUUGGAAACUGGGGAGCUUGAGUGCAGAAGAGGAGAGUGGAAUUCCAUGUGUAGCGGUGAAAUGCGUAGAUAUAUGGAGGAACACCAGUGGCGAAGGCGGCUCUCUGGUCUGUAACUGACGCUGAGGCGCGAAGGCGUGGGGAGUAAACAGG